rnacentral:misc_RNA from 1 species
UCUUGGUCAAUUUAGAGGAAGUAAAAGUCGUAACAAGGUUUCCGUAGGUGAACCUGCGGAAGGAUCAACCCCUGUGGGUAUAGUGAGAUGGUUUUUCCAACCCAACCCGUGCGCACAUCCAUUGGACUGGAUGCACGGGUGUGUGGUCUUCUUGGUGGGGAGGCCUGGUUAGGGCCUGACUUGGUGGGGGUGACUAGGCUGGACGGUGUACUGACAAAGCCGUUUUUCCAGUUAUAGAGCCGUUCCGGUCGGGCCCAAGGGCAUGUCCAGUCCCAUUGGUGGUGGACGCCCCUCCGUGGGCUCUGAGGCCUUGUCACCCUCAGUGUCCGUCGGAGUCUACAAAGGGGCACUUGUGCCCCGGCGUAACGUGGAUGUGUGUACAUACAUAUUCCGGUUGGCCUUGUGCCAACAACAUGCCAGUGAAGACGUGUCCUUGUCCACUCCAACGUUUUUACCUACGGGACAAGGCCUAGCUGGUCCGCAGGCGGCGGGAUGACUUGGGUUGGAAGAGGGGGCCGAUGUGUACACAAUGCCCUCCUUCCGUUGUGCCCAAUCGUCUGAAGUUAUGGGCCUCGACGAAUUGAUGUAAGUCGAGGGGGUCAUAUCUGUUUUUGGCCCGGCAUGGACCUAGACCUACACGCGGUGCCCCUGUUCUUGACUGAUUAGGUCUAUAACAUCRAGCUGAGUUUUCCAAUGGGUUUUUAAAUAACUCUCAACAAUGGAUCUCUAGGCUCUUGCAUCGAUGAAGAACGCAGUGAACUGCGAUAACUGGUGUGAGUUGCAUGGCACUUCUAAUCUAACACCAAGCGAAUCAUCGAGUCUUUGAACGCAAACGGCACCCUUCCAGUCCAUUCCAAAGCGGUGGCGGAGGAUGAAGACAAGGGUAUCUCUGGCUGAGGGUAAUGAGAACUGAUCCAGUGUAACCGUUGGUUUAGCUGGGGAUUGGGCUUGCUUGGGGCAGUUGCUCUGGCUUGCCUCAAAAUCAAGCGUUGUGUGGAUUGGACUUUCAAGCAUGCAUUGGGGACGCAGGCUCUGCGCUAUGGCAAGCCCUUGACCGUCAUAGGUGCUUUGAUUGGGGUUUUCAGUCUAGCCAACAAGGCUGGGUUGAAGGACUUUGGGGCUGCAUUGGGGGCGCAAGGGCAGCUCUGUUCGUGGCGUCCGAUGACCGUCAUGAUGCAUGCGUGAUUGGACUUCAACUAGCAAUUUAUCAUUAUCAUCAUCAUUACUAUGGGUUACCUCAGGUCAGAGAAGACUACCCGCUGGACUUAAGCAUAUCACUAAGCGGAGGAAAAGAAACUAACUAGGAUUCCCCCAGUAACUGCGAGUGAAGAGGGAAGAGCUCAUCAUUGGAAUCUGGCAGUGUUGCACUGUCCGAGUUGUAGAUGAGGAGUAGUCCGUCUGGACUGCAUGGCGUCCAAGUACAAUAGGCCGUCAGUG